UGUGGUGUUGAUCAGGUAAUGGAGUUAAUUUGAUUGGUAAAGGUCCUGGUAAGUUAGUCUAGUUUUAGGUUUAGGAAUUCAAUUACUAGUAGUAUAUAUAUUCGUUAACUGUUGACUAGUUACAGCAUAGGGGAUCAUUCAAGCACUUAUAAUUCGAUGUGUUUCUUUUAUUUGCGAUACAGACUAGUGGAUUGUUAUCAACGUCGCAUUUGGUUGCAUCCUUUCGGAUUUAAGGUUAGUGCAUGGGGCAUUGUAGAGGACUCUGCGGCGUUGUCGGGACCUUCUGUUUGGACCUCUAGGACGUCUGCAUUUUUAUUUCUUUUCUAUUGCCAAAAAGCUUCCGCAUUUUUAUUAGCUUUCGCACUUUUAUUAAUUGGCAGUUCGUUGUGGAAUUUGGAGAUUGGAAAAUAUCGGAUAUUGUGUCGUUUGCUUAAGAAAAAUAUUGGUUUGGUGUCGCGCAUUUUAUUGUAAUAAAAUAUCCAGUUUUUUUUAUUUA